GGGUUGUGAGGUUAAGCGACUAAGCGUACACGGUGGAUGCCCUGGCAGUCAGAGGCGAUGAAGGACGUGCUAAUCUGCGAUAAGCGUCGGUAAGGUGAUAUGAACCGUUAUAACCGGCGAUUUCCGAAUGGGGAAACCCAGUGUGUUUCGACACACUAUCAUUAACUGAAUCCAUAGGUUAAUGAGGCGAACCGGGGGAACUGAAACAUCUAAGUACCCCGAGGAAAAGAAAUCAACCGAGAUUCCCCCAGUAGCGGCGAGCGAACGGGGAGCAGCCCAGAGCCUGAAUCAGUGUGUGUGUUAGUGGAAGCGUCUGGAAAGGCGCGCGAUACAGGGUGACAGCCCCGUACACAAAAAUGCACAUGCUGUGAGCUCGAUGAGUAGGGCGGGACACGUGGUAUCCUGUCUGAAUAUGGGGGGACCAUCCUCCAAGGCUAAAUACUCCUGACUGACCGAUAGUGAACCAGUACCGUGAGGGAAAGGCGAAAAGAACCCCGGCGAGGGGAGUGAAAAAGAACCUGAAACCGUGUACGUACAAGCAGUGGGAGCACGCUUAGGCGUGUGACUGCGUACCUUUUGUAUAAUGGGUCAGCGACUUAUAUUCUGUAGCAAGGUUAACCGAAUAGGGGAGCCGAAGGGAAACCGAGUCUUAACUGGGCGUUAAGUUGCAGGGUAUAGACCCGAAACCCGGUGAUCUAGCCAUGGGCAGGUUGAAGGUUGGGUAACACUAACUGGAGGACCGAACCGACUAAUGUUGAAAAAUUAGCGGAUGACUUGUGGCUGGGGGUGAAAGGCCAAUCAAACCGGGAGAUAGCUGGUUCUCCCCGAAAGCUAUUUAGGUAGCGCCUCGUGAAUUCAUCUCCGGGGGUAGAGCACUGUUUCGGCAAGGGGGUCAUCCCGACUUACCAACCCGAUGCAAACUGCGAAUACCGGAGAAUGUUAUCACGGGAGACACACGGCGGGUGCUAACGUCCGUCGUGAAGAGGGAAACAACCCAGACCGCCAGCUAAGGUCCCAAAGUCAUGGUUAAGUGGGAAACGAUGUGGGAAGGCCCAGACAGCCAGGAUGUUGGCUUAGAAGCAGCCAUCAUUUAAAGAAAGCGUAAUAGCUCACUGGUCGAGUCGGCCUGCGCGGAAGAUGUAACGGGGCUAAACCAUGCACCGAAGCUGCGGCAGCGACGCUUAUGCGUUGUUGGGUAGGGGAGCGUUCUGUAAGCCUGCGAAGGUGUGCUGUGAGGCAUGCUGGAGGUAUCAGAAGUGCGAAUGCUGACAUAAGUAACGAUAAAGCGGGUGAAAAGCCCGCUCGCCGGAAGACCAAGGGUUCCUGUCCAACGUUAAUCGGGGCAGGGUGAGUCGACCCCUAAGGCGAGGCCGAAAGGCGUAGUCGAUGGGAAACAGGUUAAUAUUCCUGUACUUGGUGUUACUGCGAAGGGGGGACGGAGAAGGCUAUGUUGGCCGGGCGACGGUUGUCCCGGUUUAAGCGUGUAGGCUGGUUUUCCAGGCAAAUCCGGAAAAUCAAGGCUGAGGCGUGAUGACGAGGCACUACGGUGCUGAAGCAACAAAUGCCCUGCUUCCAGGAAAAGCCUCUAAGCAUCAGGUAACAUCAAAUCGUACCCCAAACCGACACAGGUGGUCAGGUAGAGAAUACCAAGGCGCUUGAGAGAACUCGGGUGAAGGAACUAGGCAAAAUGGUGCCGUAACUUCGGGAGAAGGCACGCUGAUAUGUAGGUGAAGCGACUUGCUCGUGGAGCUGAAAUCAGUCGAAGAUACCAGCUGGCUGCAACUGUUUAUUAAAAACACAGCACUGUGCAAACACGAAAGUGGACGUAUACGGUGUGACGCCUGCCCGGUGCCGGAAGGUUAAUUGAUGGGGUUAGCCGCAAGGCGAAGCUCUUGAUCGAAGCCCCGGUAAACGGCGGCCGUAACUAUAACGGUCCUAAGGUAGCGAAAUUCCUUGUCGGGUAAGUUCCGACCUGCACGAAUGGCGUAAUGAUGGCCAGGCUGUCUCCACCCGAGACUCAGUGAAAUUGAACUCGCUGUGAAGAUGCAGUGUACCCGCGGCAAGACGGAAAGACCCCGUGAACCUUUACUAUAGCUUGACACUGAACAUUGAGCCUUGAUGUGUAGGAUAGGUGGGAGGCUUUGAAGUGUGGACGCCAGUCUGCAUGGAGCCGACCUUGAAAUACCACCCUUUAAUGUUUGAUGUUCUAACGUUGACCCGUAAUCCGGGUUGCGGACAGUGUCUGGUGGGUAGUUUGACUGGGGCGGUCUCCUCCUAAAGAGUAACGGAGGAGCACGAAGGUUGGCUAAUCCUGGUCGGACAUCAGGAGGUUAGUGCAAUGGCAUAAGCCAGCUUGACUGCGAGCGUGACGGCGCGAGCAGGUGCGAAAGCAGGUCAUAGUGAUCCGGUGGUUCUGAAUGGAAGGGCCAUCGCUCAACGGAUAAAAGGUACUCCGGGGAUAACAGGCUGAUACCGCCCAAGAGUUCAUAUCGACGGCGGUGUUUGGCACCUCGAUGUCGGCUCAUCACAUCCUGGGGCUGAAGUAGGUCCCAAGGGUAUGGCUGUUCGCCAUUUAAAGUGGUACGCGAGCUGGGUUUAGAACGUCGUGAGACAGUUCGGUCCCUAUCUGCCGUGGGCGCUGGAGAACUGAGGGGGGCUGCUCCUAGUACGAGAGGACCGGAGUGGACGCAUCACUGGUGUUCGGGUUGUCAUGCCAAUGGCACUGCCCGGUAGCUAAAUGCGGAAGAGAUAAGUGCUGAAAGCAUCUAAGCACGAAACUUGCCCCGAGAUGAGUUCUCCCUGACUCCUUGAGAGUCCUGAAGGAACGUUGAAGACGACGACGUUGAUAGGCCGGGUGUGUAAGCGCAGCGAUGCGUUGAGCUAACCGGUACUAAUGAACCGUGAGGCUUAACCUUACAACGCCGAAGGUGUUU
rnacentral:rRNA from 1 species